rnacentral:rRNA from 1 species
GACGAACGCUGGCGGCGUGCUUAACACAUGCAAGUCGAACGGAAAGGCCUCUUUCGGGGGGUACUCGAGUGACGAACGGGUGAGUAACACGUGAGUAACCUGCCCUUGACUUUGGGAUAACUUCAGGAAACUGGGGCUAAUACCGGAUAGGAGCUCCUGCUGCAUGGUGGGGGUUGGAAAGUUUCGGCGGUUGGGGAUGGACUCGCGGCUUAUCAGCUUGUUGGUGGGGUAGUGGCUUACCAAGGCUUUGGCGGGUAGCCGGCCUGAGAGGGUGACCGGCCACAUUGGGACUGAGAUACGGCCCAGACUCCUACGGGAGGCAGCAGUGGGGAAUAUUGCACAAUGGGUGGAAGCCUGAUGCAGCAACGCCGUGUGCGGGAUGACGGCCUUCGGGUUGUAAACCGCUUUCGCUCAUGACGAAGCUUUGUGUGACGGUAGUGGGUAAAGAAGCACCGGCUAACUACGUG